AAUAAAUUAAUUAAAAAUAUUUAUAGCAUUUUUUCCAGACAUUUCACUGCCACCUAUACCAUUGUAACAAAGAAAAAAAAAUGCAGUGUUAAGGUCUUCAUUUCGUAUUUUUCCACACAUAAACCUACUGCCACCUAACCCACUAAAAUAUAGAGAUGAAAAAAGCAGUCCCAAAGCCCUGUUAACACACAUAAACCUCCUCCUGCUGCUGUUGCUGCUGCUGCUUCUUCUUUUUCUUCUUUCUUUUUUUCUUCUUUCUUUCUUUCUUCUUUUGAGUCACUGCUGCCUGCUUAUUGUUUCUUCUUCUCUGUUUUCCCUUGUUAAUCUCUCUCUUUCUUGCAUUGCUGCUGCUGCCUUUUUCCCUAUUUCAGCGAACCAGGACGAGUUCCCAAGUGUUUUGGAAUGCCGGAGUAUUGUGUUCUGGGAUGCGCAUCCCAGUUCGUGGUUCGGGGGGGUGGCAGCAAUGAAUUAGGCAACUAUAGCUUAGUAUAUCUGCUGCUAAUAUGUGGUAUGCAUAUUUUGUUAUUGGAUAGCCUGCUAUGUUUACUCUUGGUAUGCAUAUUGUUCUGUUGGGAAGUAGGGUGACAAUUUGGGUUAAUGUGUCAUACAGAAUGAAAAUGUAACAGCAUUUGGUUAACACCCGUAAUCUGUUUAAAGUAUUAAGUUUUCAACAUGGCCCAUUAAUUAGAGAAGGCUUUUCUAGAUAACUUUUCAGGAUGAAAAUGUAAUGGUCUUACUACUGUGGUUGAUGUUAUAAUAUGUUGCUUUCACAUUGGCCCUUCAUUUGAUAUAUUAGGAAGAUGAAUUGAAAAAGGGGGGAAAUAUAAGCUGAUACAGAUAGAAUGAUGCAAGAGUACAGAGCUUAACUUGAUGUUGAGUUGCUGACAGGGCAAGAAAG
rnacentral:misc_RNA from 1 species